CAGUGAUGAUAUUAACCUGAAAAUAGCUGGAAUUACCGUCAGACUGCAGGUGGUGAUCUGGUAUAUCUGAGC